UACGUAGGGCGCAAGCGUUAUCCGGAAUUACUGGGCGUAAAGGGCUCGUAGGCGGCCAACUAAGUCAGACGUGAAAUCCCUCGGCUUAACCGGGGAACUGCGUCUGAUACUGGAUGGCUUGAGGUUGGGAGAGGGAUGCGGAAUUCCAGGUGUAGCGGUGAAAUGCGUAGAUAUCUGGAGGAACACCGGUGGCGAAGGCGGCAUCCUGGACCAAUUCUGACGCUGAGGAGCGAAAGCCAGGGGAGCAAACGGG
rnacentral:rRNA from 1 species